rnacentral:piRNA from 1 species
UGUACUUUUACAGUGCCCAUAGCCGUAG